AAACUAUGGUGUCGGCAUCUUUAUAUUAACAUCUUCAAACUCUCCCAAGCUUCAUGAAAACUCUCUCCUUCUAUUUGCCUAAAUGUAAUGAUCUCUCUCCUUAGUUG
rfam:Gossypium raimondii chromosome 4, whole genome shotgun sequence.